UACGUAGGGUGCAAGCGUUGUCCGGAAUUAUUGGGCGUAAAGAGCUCGUAGGCGGUCUGUCGCGUCGGCUGUGAAAUCCCGAGGCUCAACCUCGGGUCUGCAGUCGAUACGGGCAAACUGGAGUGUUGCAGGGGAGACUGGAAUUCCUGGUGUAGCGGUGAAAUGCGCAGAUAUCAGGAAGAACACCGAUGGCGAAAGCAGCUCUCUGGGACGGUACUGACGCUGAGGCGCGAAAGCGUGGGGAGCGAACAGG
rnacentral:rRNA from 1 species